GAUGAACGCUGGCGGCGUGCCUAAUACAUGCCAGUCGAGCGAACAGACGAGGAGCUUGCUCCUCUGACGUUAGCGGCGGACGGGUGAGUAACACGUGGAUAACCUACCUAUAAGACUGGGAUAACUUCGGGAAACCGGAGCUAAUACCGGAUAAUAUAUUGAACCGCAUGGUUCAAUAGUGAAAGACGGUUUUGCUGUCACUUAUAGAUGGAUCCGCGCCGCAUUAGCUAGUUGGUAAGGUAACGGCUUACCAAGGCGACGAUGCGUAGCCGACCUGAGAGGGUGAUCGGCCACACUGGAGCUGAGACACGGUCCAGACUCCUACGGGAGGCAGCAGUAGGGAAUCUUCCGCAAUGGGCGAAAGCCUGACGGAGCAACGCCGCGUGAGUGAUGAAGGUCUUCGGAUCGUAAAACUCUGUAAUUAGGGAAGAACAAAUGUGUAAGUAACUAUGCCCGUCUUGACGGUACCUAAUCAGAAAGCCACGGCUAACUACGUG
rnacentral:rRNA from 1 species